CGUGGCUGCUCGCAGCAGUCUCUGCCUUUUCCUUUUGGAGCUGUACUCGUCAUCCAAGGGUCCUCCGUUUAUGUAGUUGAUUACUGCCCUAACAGGAGCCGCUGGGGCGCGUGGGCCUCGACCAUGGGAAGAUCCUUCACCUUUAGGCACUGUUCGGACGUAUUACUUCAAGUGUCCCGCCUUUAGGAGAUCCUCCACC
rnacentral:lncRNA from 1 species